AGAGUUUGAUCCUGGCUCAGAGCGAACGCUGGCGGCAGGCCUAACACAUGCAAGUCGAACGAACUCUUCGGAGUUAGUGGCGGACGGGUGAGUAACACGUGGGAACGUGCCUUUUGGUUCGGAAUAACUCAGGGAAACUUGUGCUAAUACCGAAUGUGCCCUUCGGGGGAAAGAUUUAUCGCCAUUAGAGCGGCCCGCGUCUGAUUAGCUAGUUGGUGAGGUAAAGGCUCACCAAGGCGACGAUCAGUAGCUGGUCUGAGAGGAUGAUCAGCCACAUUGGGACUGAGACACGGCCCAAACUCCUACGGGAGGCAGCAGUGGGGAAUCUUGCGCAAUGGGCGAAAGCCUGACGCAGCCAUGCCGCGUGAAUGAUGAAGGUCUUAGGAUUGUAAAAUUCUUUCACCGGGGACGAUAAUGACGGUACCCGGAGAAGAAGCCCCGGCUAACUUCGUGCCAGCAGCCGCGGUAAU
rnacentral:rRNA from 1 species